ensembl:lncRNA
GUUGAAAACAUCAAGUCAGUGUUAACCUUGCUGCACGAAGAUGCUGCAGGCAUGGUCCCCCAGGAAGAGGAGCCUCAUUCUCAUUCGGCUUCAGAAGGGCACUAAAAGCACGUCAACUGAGUGAGUUUGGUUGCCCUCUUUCUACGCCUGGACUGCAACUCAAGAAGUGGUUUCCCCUCACUUUGGGAAGAAAGAAAAAUAGGGCUGGACUACCUGUACUUGGGGACAAGGAGGUAGCAUGGCAGCAUGGAAUCCUCCAUCAGCGGGGCCAGACAGCCUUUGCUUCGGCUCCCAGCAUUACCACUUUUCAGCAAAUGGGCCCGGGCAAGUUAUGUGGUACUUCGUGGGUCGGUUUUCUUCUCUAUGAAAUAGCGGUGAUGUCCCCGUCCUGGGGUGGCAUGGCGCAGGGUAGGUACUUAACCAGUGUUGGUUCCAUCCCACUACACCUUCCCCCAAAUGCUAUUCACACUCAGGAGAAAUCCAGACAUUUGAGCACGAGGAAGCGUUCCCUAUAUCCCUCUACCUUUCUCCUUUCCUCACCCCCGAGCCAAGCCUCACAAUCGUGUCUUCUCCCUCUCUCCUCUCUGCCAACCUCCUCACCCUCUCAGGGCUAGAUCUCAAGAAAGCCCAGGAAUCUCCAGGGGAACCAGUCUUCCUCCUCUCGUCUGGUGGAGGCUCACAGGCUCAUCCCUGUGGGCUGAGGGCAGAGGACCCAACUGGAGUUACAAUACAUUAUUACCUCUCUGGAGAGCAGGAGGGGCAGAGAGAGGAGCCCACAGGUGUUUUUCCCGGUCUUCUCCCUAUUCCAUUUCACCACAUUGCCCCCACCCAGGCAUUCUCAAGGUGGUGACCUGGGUGCUAACGUCUUGAGGAACCACCCAGGUCAAGGUGCAGAGCCUGUCAGAGGCAGGUGGGGGAAGGGACUGACUAGGUGUGGGCUGUGUGGUACUCUUUGUUAAAAGAUAUUUAUUUAGCCGGAGGACUAUCUCGAACUCGGUCUAUCUCAGUGAGUGAGUCACUUACUGGAAACUGUAAACACAGGUGUAAUAUUGGCCUGCGUAAGACCUGGAUGUCCGAGGGAGGUGGAAGACCAGCUCUGUCCAGUUCAACCGUUCAUUCUAUAUCCAGAACACCGAAGUUCCUAGAGGUUAAGCCAUUGGCCUGAGUGAGGCUCAGUCCAGGGACCGAGGGGAUCUGGAAUCCGAGGUCGGGAUUCCCAGCCCGGCUCCCUGGCGCCCCACCCUCCUCCCGCCCGCUACAGCGAUGGACAAUCCCGGUGCCCACGCAGCUUUCGGGACCGGUCUGGGAUCCCGACCUCACUAUUCCUCUCCUGACCCCUGGCUUUCUCGGCUCCCCCUCGCCGGCUCUCGUGCCUUCCCCGCCCCCCCGAGUCUCGCAGAGCCGGCUGGAUGAAGGGAUGCCGGACACCUAUGAUACCUCUACAGACAUUGUAGUAAGAGCCAGGCUGCCGGCACCGAGAGUCGCCGUGGCAGAGGCGCGCACCGCGGUCUCCGGGGAGGGGGCAAGCCGGGGCCCCGCUCGCGGGUCGGACGGCGCCCAGUCCCGGGCCA